rnacentral:rRNA from 1 species
UACGUAGGGUGCGAGCGUUAAUCGGAAUUACUGGGCGUAAAGCGCACGUAGGCGGAUUGGAAAGUUGGAGGUGAAAUCCCAGGGCUCAACCUUGGAACUGCCUUCAAAACUCCCAGUCUUGAGGUCGAGAGAGGUAAGUGGAAUUCCGAGUGUAGAGGUGAAAUUCGUAGAUAUUCGGAGGAACACCAGUGGCGAAGGCGGCUUACUGGCUCGAUACUGACGCUCAUGCACGAAAGCGUGGGGAGCAAACAGG